GGUUGCACCGGUAGGCGUGCUAGCGCUCCAUACGUACUGCGGCUGUGGAACAUAUUACUUUUUCUUAUGAAUCGGUCCGGUCCUACACUUGGCAUAUUUCCUGGGGUUAGGUUACCGGCGGCGAUGAAAUAGGUUUCUGUGUGGUAGCCGUGGCGAUCUGCUGCUGCUGUAACCAUGUUUAGGAACAGCUUGAAGAUGCUGCUGACGGGCAGCAAGGCCAACCGCAAGAACCGCAACGGCAGCAGCGGACAAUGACCCAACACACCUCCAGACUGUGUAAUUGCUAUUUGACUAAGGAGAGUGAUGGAGAGCUGCAUCAGAUGACCUGGCCUCCACAAUCACCCGA
ensembl:lncRNA